rnacentral:rRNA from 1 species
AGCAGCCGCGGUAAUUCCAGCUCCAAUAGCGUAUAUUAAAGUUGUUGCAGUUAAAAAGCUCGUAGUUGAAUUUCGGGAUCAAUACGUCGGUCGUGCUUCGGUACGUACUGGUGUCAUUGAUUUCUCCCUUCUGACGAACCAUGAUGUCAUUAACUUGGUGUCAUGGGAAAUCAGGACUGUUACUUUGAAAAAAUUAGAGUGUUUAAAGCAGGCUCACGCUUGAAUACAUUAGCAUGGAAUAAUGAAAUAGGACGUUCGAUCCUAUUUUGUUGGUUUCUAGGAUUGACGUAAUGAUUAAUAGGGAUAGUUGGGGGCAUUAGUAUUCAAUUGUCAGAGGUGAAAUUCUUGGAUUUAUUGAAGACUAACUACUGCGAAAGCAUUUGCCAAGGAUGUUUUCAUUAAUCAAGAACGAAAGUUAGGGGAUCGAAGACGAUCAGAUACCGUCGUAGUCUUAACCAUAAACUAUGCCGACUAGGGAUCGGAUGAUGUUAAUUUUUAAUGA